rnacentral:rRNA from 1 species
UACGAAGGGGGCUAGCGUUGCUCGGAAUCACUGGGCGUAAAGGGGUGCGUAGGCGGGUCUUUAAGUCAGGGGUGAAAUCCCAAGGCUCAACCUUGGAACUGCCUUUGAUACUGGGGAUCUCGAGUCCGGAAGAGGUUGGUGGAACUGCGAGUGUAGAGGUGAAAUUCGUAGAUAUUCGCAAGAACACCAGUGGCGAAGGCGGCCAACUGGUCCGGUACUGACGCUGAGGUGCGAAAGCGUGGGGAGCAAACAGG